rnacentral:rRNA from 1 species
UACGUAGGGUGCGAGCGUUAAUCGGAAUUACUGGGCGUAAAGCGUGCGCAGGCGGUUUUGUAAGACAGAUGUGAAAUCCCCGGGCUUAACCUGGGAACUGCAUUUGUGACUGCAAGGCUAGAGUACGGCAGAGGGGGGUAGAAUUCCACGUGUAGCAGUGAAAUGCGUAGAUAUGUGGAGGAAUACCGAUGGCGAAGGCAGCCCCCUGGGUCGAUACUGACGCUCAUGCACGAAAGCGUGGGGAGCAAAC